GACGAACCGUACGAACGUUAUUCGGAAUCACUGGGCUUAAAGGGUGCGUAGGCUGCGCGGAAAGUUGGGUGUGAAAUCCCUCGGCUCAACCGAGGAACUGCGCCCAAAACUGCCGUGCUCGAGGGAGACAGAGGUGAGCGGAACUUAGGGUGGAGCGGUGAAAUGCGUUGAUAUCCUAAGGAACACCGGUGGCGAAAGCGGCUCACUGGGACGGUACUGACGCUGAGACGCGAAAGCGUGGGGAGCGAACAGG
rnacentral:rRNA from 1 species